GAGUAAGCUUUUGCCACACCAAAAAAAAAAGAGUAAGCUUUUGAAAAUAAUGAACCAUCGGACAUGGUUCUUCCACGUGUGAGACCGAUAUGACGGAAAAGCCGAACCAACCAAGAGUCGGGUAAGAGUUUUGGUCAAGGAAGGAAGGGUAAUAUGGGAAUUUUCAAACAAGAUUAUCAGAGGUCAAAUCUUGUCUCCGUAUUACCAAACUCGUUGUGAGUUUUUGGUCAAGUAAAGAUGGGUAUUUUGGGAAUUUUAUAAUAUAAAAAUGGGAUUAUCAGAGGUCAUUUCUUGUCUCCAUAUUACCAAACUCCCAA